AUACGUAGGGGGCGAGCGUUGUCCGGAAUUACUGGGCGUAAAGGGUGCGUAGGUGGCACUUUAAGUUGGAUGUGAAAUCCCCGUGCUUAACAUGGGAGCUGCAUCCAAUACUGGAGAGCUAGAGUGCAGGAGAGGUAAGCGGAAUUCCUAGUGUAGCGGUGAAAUGCGUAGAUAUUAGGAGGAACACCAGUGGCGAAGGCGGCUUACUGGACUGUAACUGACACUGAGGCACGGAAGCGUGGGGAGCAAACAGGAUUAGAUACCCUGGUAGUCCACGCUGUAAACGAUGAAUACUAGGUGUAGGGGGUAUCAACUCCCUCUGUGCCGCAGCAAACGCAAUAAGUAUUCCGCCUGGGGAGUACGGCCGCAAGGUUGAAACUCAAAUGAAUUGACGGGG
rnacentral:rRNA from 1 species